rnacentral:rRNA from 1 species
GGUUAAGCGACUAAGCGUACACGGUGGAUGCCCUGGCAGUCAGAGGCGAUGAAGGACGUGCUAAUCUGCGAUAAGCGUCGGUAAGGUGAUAUGAACCGUUAUAACCGGCGAUUUCCGAAUGGGGAAACCCAGUGUGAUUCGUCACACUAUCAUUAACUGAAUCCAUAGGUUAAUGAGGCGAACCGGGGGAACUGAAACAUCUAAGUACCCCGAGGAAAAGAAAUCAACCGAGAUUCCCCCAGUAGCGGCGAGCGAACGGGGAGCAGCCCAGAGCCUGAAUCAGUGUGUGUGUUAGUGGAAGCGUCUGGAAAGGCGUGCGAUACAGGGUGACAGCCCCGUACACAAAAAUGCACAUGCUGUGAGCUCGAUGAGUAGGGCGGGACACGUGGUAUCCUGUCUGAAUAUGGGGGGACCAUCCUCCAAGGCUAAAUACUCCUGACUGACCGAUAGUGAACCAGUACCGUGAGGGAAAGGCGAAAAGAACCCCGGCGAGGGGAGUGAAAAAGAACCUGAAACCGUGUACGUACAAGCAGUGGGAGCACGCUUAGGCGUGUGACUGCGUACCUUUUGUAUAAUGGGUCAGCGACUUAUAUUCUGUAGCAAGGUUAACCGAAUAGGGGAGCCGAAGGGAAACCGAGUCUUAACUGGGCGUUAAGUUGCAGGGUAUAGACCCGAAACCCGGUGAUCUAGCCAUGGGCAGGUUGAAGGUUGGGUAACACUAACUGGAGGACCGAACCGACUAAUGUUGAAAAAUUAGCGGAUGACUUGUGGCUGGGGGUGAAAGGCCAAUCAAACCGGGAGAUAGCUGGUUCUCCCCGAAAGCUAUUUAGGUAGCGCCUCGUGAAUUCAUCUCCGGGGGUAGAGCACUGUUUCGGCAAGGGGGUCAUCCCGACUUACCAACCCGAUGCAAACUGCGAAUACCGGAGAAUGUUAUCACGGGAGACACACGGCGGGUGCUAACGUCCGUCGUGAAGAGGGAAACAACCCAGACCGCCAGCUAAGGUCCCAAAGUCAUGGUUAAGUGGGAAACGAUGUGGGAAGGCCCAGACAGCCAGGAUGUUGGCUUAGAAGCAGCCAUCAUUUAAAGAAAGCGUAAUAGCUCACUGGUCGAGUCGGCCUGCGCGGAAGAUGUAACGGGGCUAAACCAUGCACCGAAGCUGCGGCAGCGACGCUUAUGCGUUGUUGGGUAGGGGAGCGUUCUGUAAGCCUGCGAAGGUGUGCUGUGAGGCAUGCUGGAGGUAUCAGAAGUGCGAAUGCUGACAUAAGUAACGAUAAAGCGGGUGAAAAGCCCGCUCGCCGGAAGACCAAGGGUUCCUGUCCAACGUUAAUCGGGGCAGGGUGAGUCGACCCCUAAGGCGAGGCCGAAAGGCGUAGUCGAUGGGAAACAGGUUAAUAUUCCUGUACUUGGUGUUACUGCGAAGGGGGGACGGAGAAGGCUAUGUUGGCCGGGCGACGGUUGUCCCGGUUUAAGCGUGUAGGCUGGUUUUCCAGGCAAAUCCGGAAAACUAAGGCUGAGGCGUGAUGACGAGGCACUACGGUGCUGAAGCAACAAAUGCCCUGCUUCCAGGAAAAGCCUCUAAGCAUCAGGUAACAUCAAAUCGUACCCCAAACCGACACAGGUGGUCAGGUAGAGAAUACCAAGGCGCUUGAGAGAACUCGGGUGAAGGAACUAGGCAAAAUGGUGCCGUAACUUCGGGAGAAGGCACGCUGAUAUGUAGGUGAAGCGACUUGCUCGUGGAGCUGAAAUCAGUCGAAGAUACCAGCUGGCUGCAACUGUUUAUUAAAAACACAGCACUGUGCAAACACGAAAGUGGACGUAUACGGUGUGACGCCUGCCCGGUGCCGGAAGGUUAAUUGAUGGGGUCAGCGCAAGCGAAGCUCUUGAUCGAAGCCCCGGUAAACGGCGGCCGUAACUAUAACGGUCCUAAGGUAGCGAAAUUCCUUGUCGGGUAAGUUCCGACCUGCACGAAUGGCGUAAUGAUGGCCAGGCUGUCUCCACCCGAGACUCAGUGAAAUUGAACUCGCUGUGAAGAUGCAGUGUACCCGCGGCAAGACGGAAAGACCCCGUGAACCUUUACUAUAGCUUGACACUGAACAUUGAGCCUUGAUGUGUAGGAUAGGUGGGAGGCUUGGAAGUGUGGACGCCAGUCUGCAUGGAGCCGACCUUGAAAUACCACCCUUUAAUGUUUGAUGUUCUAACGUUGACCCGUAAUCCGGGUUGCGGACAGUGUCUGGUGGGUAGUUUGACUGGGGCGGUCUCCUCCUAAAGAGUAACGGAGGAGCACGAAGGUUGGCUAAUCCUGGUCGGACAUCAGGAGGUUAGUGCAAUGGCAUAAGCCAGCUUGACUGCGAGCGUGACGGCGCGAGCAGGUGCGAAAGCAGGUCAUAGUGAUCCGGUGGUUCUGAAUGGAAGGGCCAUCGCUCAACGGAUAAAAGGUACUCCGGGGAUAACAGGCUGAUACCGCCCAAGAGUUCAUAUCGACGGCGGUGUUUGGCACCUCGAUGUCGGCUCAUCACAUCCUGGGGCUGAAGUAGGUCCCAAGGGUAUGGCUGUUCGCCAUUUAAAGUGGUACGCGAGCUGGGUUUAGAACGUCGUGAGACAGUUCGGUCCCUAUCUGCCGUGGGCGCUGGAGAACUGAGGGGGGCUGCUCCUAGUACGAGAGGACCGGAGUGGACGCAUCACUGGUGUUCGGGUUGUCAUGCCAAUGGCACUGCCCGGUAGCUAAAUGCGGAAGAGAUAAGUGCUGAAAGCAUCUAAGCACGAAACUUGCCCCGAGAUGAGUUCUCCCUGACUCCUUGAGAGUCCUGAAGGAACGUUGAAGACGACGACGUUGAUAGGCCGGGUGUGUAAGCGCAGCGAUGCGUUGAGCUAACCGGUACUAAUGAACCGUGAGGCUUAACCUU